rnacentral:misc_RNA from 1 species
GAUGAAGAACGUAGCGAAAUGCGAUAAGUAAUGUGAAUUGCAGAAUUCAGUGAAUCAUCGAAUCUUUGAACGCACCUUGCACCCUUUGGUAUUCUGAAGGGUAUGCUCGUUUGAGUGUCAUUGUACUCUCACACUCCCGAUCUUUGCAUUGGGAGCAGUGGACUUGGGUUUGCUGCUUCACCGUCGCUUACCUCAAAUAGGUUAGUGCAACUCUUGGUUGGACAUAGUACGGCGUGAUAAGUGUUCUUCGCCGGUGCCUCGCAAAGAGGGUGGCCGAUCGGGAUGUUGUGCUCCAAACCGUCUUCGGACAAUCUCUGACGACUUGACCUCAAAUCGAGUAAGACUACCCGCUGAACUUAAGCAUAUCAAUAAGCGGAGGA